rnacentral:lncRNA from 1 species
UUAAAAUAGCUCGCUGUUUUGGGAUUUGCCGCCUCAAGUUUCAUCUAGCUACCUCGAACAAAUCCUUCAAUCUCCAUGGCUACAUCGGUACUUCUCCUAUUCCACCUUGUGCUCCUACUAGUAGUGUUUUUAUUCUUGAGUAGCGCAUUUUGCUUUCAACUAGCAUGUCUAAUUGCAUAUAAAUUACUUGUUCUAGAUAUCAACUCAAUUUACUAACGAGGAGGAAAUUAAAAGGAAGAGAAAGAAGCGAAAGAGAGUUGUUGUAUUAGAUGUGUCUAUUAUGGCAAUUAUUGCAAAUCUGUAUCAACGAAGGAGACCUAGACACAUCGUAGAUGCUAACGAAGUUCAAGAGAGAAAUGUCGAGUCCAGAAGACAAAUGCUACGUAAUAUGUACUAGGGUUCAAAUGUCUAUUGCUAUGACAGUUUGCACCUAACUAAGAGAUCUUUUAGUGACUUGAGUGCCAUUUUACGAGAAAAGAGUGGCCUACAGGAUACCCUAAAUGUGUCGGUAGAAGAAAAGCUUGCAAUUUUUCUGCUUAUAGUAGGUCAUAACACCAAAAUGAGGUUGAUCCGUAGCACUUAUGGGUGGUCCAUUGAACCAAUCAGUCGACACUUCAACGAAGUGCUUAGAGGGAUUCUAUUUUUAAGUCAUGAGUUCAUCAAGCUUCCUAAUCCAGAAACCACUCUACCUGAGGAUCCAAAGUGGAAAUGGUUUGAGGAUUGUCUAGGUGCACUAGAUGGCACACAUAUCGAUGUGAAUGUUCCAUUGACUGACCAGGGUAGGUAUAGAAAUAGGAAGCAACGUAUCAUCACUAAUGUAUUAGGGGUUUGUGAUCGACAAAUGAAGUUUUUGUAUGUCUUGGUUGGAUGGGAAGGGUCGGCUUCGGAUUCACGCAUACUACGUGAUGUCAUGUCACGGGAGGACUCAUUUGUUGUUCCUAGUGGUAAAUACUAUCUAGUGGAUGUUGGAUAUACAAAUGGUCCGGGAUUUCUUGCCCCGUACCGAUCUACACGGUACCACUUGAAUGAAUGGGCUAUUCAAGGCAACAAUCCAUCUACUGUGAGAGAGUUAUUCAACCUACGCCAUGCAACAACUAGGAAUGUGAUAGAGAGAACUUUUGGGCUAUUGAAGAUGAGAUGGGCAAUCUUGAGGACCAGCUCAUAUUUUGAUUUAGAAAACCAGGUAUAACAUAGUAGGUAUUCAAUUAAAAUUCAAUUGUUAGUUUUAAAAUUGUGUAUUGACUUAGCCAAAUUAUUCUGUGCAGAUUAGGAUCAUCCAUGUUUGUUGCAUAUUGCAUAAUUUUUUAAGGGAUAGACAAAGAGAUAUGGACGAUAUUCUAAUACAUGAAGUUGAUAGUCUCAUCUCUACUACUCCUACUGAAAAUCAAGGAGAAAUGAGUCUGAUUACGCAUGUUCAAUCAACUAAUGAGUGGGGUAAUUUUAGAGACACCAAAGCUAGUGAAAUGUUUGUUGAUUAUCAAGCGAGGCGUGGUCAAAGCUCAUAGCUGUAUGCUUCUGUUUUCUAUGUCUUCGUCUUUUCUGAUUUUUGUUUGUUUGUGUUUUUAUAUGUGUGGUUCUUUGAUUGUACGACAAGAAAACAAGGGGCUAUGUUCCUUGGAAUAAUGAGAUGGAUAAGGUACUCCUUGAUACAUUUGUGGACUAUUACAAUAAAGGUGAUAGAUGUCAGAUUGGGUGGAAGUCUCAUGUAUACACAGCUGCUGUGAAGAAUGUUUGUGAGAAGUGCAAUGACACCAUUACAAAGG